CCGGAAGUGAUGACAGCCUGGCACUGACCCCCCUGAUGGUCACUCGUGUUCGUACUGUCUGAUCCGC